rnacentral:lncRNA from 1 species
AAAUAAUAAUACAGUUUUUUUCCCUCGAGAGACAUUAGUUUAAUAUUUGAAUUAAUUACGUAUUUAAAUUCAGGAAAUUUUUUUUAUUUUUUAAAUUUCGGAAUAAUUUUCAGAAAAAAAAAAUUAUUACGUAUCGGAGAAUUUUAAAAUUAAAACAUAUUGCAUGCAAGAAACUUACGGGGUUAACUGAAGUAUAUACUUCUUGUUAUGAUUAGCCUACGGCCAAUAUAACUGAAAGUUAUUAUUAAUGAAUUGAAUAACUCCUGGCUAAGCAUAGCGUGAUAAAGGACUCAAUAAUAUUUACAUAAGUAAGUAAACAUAUACGAAACAAUUAAUAAAGGGCAUAUAAAUUGAAUUAAUGAUUAUAAUUACAAAUCUAACAUUAUUUGUUGUGUGUGUAAAGUUCAAAGCAAAUUUUGUUGCGCACAUAAACACACAGAAAAUUUUCUAGAAUAUAAUUCUCUUACAUUCUGGAGAUGCGUAUUAUAUCUCACGCUAUAUAUAUUUAGCAAUUCUAUAUACAUUGAUAGAUGGAAAAAAAAGUAUUUUUUUUUUACGUGAGCCAACGAAGCGCAGAUGUCGAGCUCGAUUUCCUCCCAUCACGCUUACUGAGGACUCAGUCCUUCAGUAAUCAUAAACCUCACCCUCUCGUGAUUAAGUUUGUGUCACGUUCGGCGGUUCUCACUCAUCAUCGCACACCGAAACCGAAUAUAAUUGCCAACCGCACCAUUACGAUUUAUAUUUAAAAUCGCAAACAUUCGUAACGAAAGAAUACAGAAUACUCUAUGGUUAUAUUAUUUAUCCCAGUAGAAAUAUCCUGAUUGACGGCAGAUACAAGAUACGCUCGUCGUCAUGGUAACAUCAGCCCCCAAAUGCUGUAGCAGAUGGUCGGUUGUUCACCUGGACAAGUCGCACUGCCAUUCUGAUUCAGUAUUUUCGUUGUAUAAAUUGCCUGCCUUUAUUGUCGUGAAUCAGAGCUUGUGCCACUAGUUACUUUUUUGCUUUAAAUAUCGCGCAUAAUAAACUUCUGGCGCGUAUUAUUAUUUUUUUACUAUACAUAAAGCAGAACGUGAUCAGCUAUGCUUAUCUCAUUAUGUGUCAAAUAGUUUCCGUGCAGUAUCUACAUGUAAAAAUAAUUCAAAACAUUAUUUCAUUUUUUCCUUGAAAUAUCGGUGUUAUUCUGGUCUAGACAGUUUACAGUUAGUUCAGUUAACAGCAUUUCUUCAUCCCUACUAGAUCCGUUUUAUCUACUGCUUCAUGAUGACUGUACUCUACUUUACUGUGAUGUUUACUGUAAGAAACGAGCUUGGUAAGAGCCAACAGAAUACAUCUUUUAUUUAUAUAAAUAAUUUUUUCUUAAAUAUUAUAUUGAAAUUUUUUCUUUUUGACGGUUU